UUAGUUGAAGCCAAAGCAGAGGCAUAUCACUGUUAAUGAUAAAACUGAAACAUAUUUCCAACUAAA
rnacentral:tRNA from 1 species